UGCUGGUAUAUGGAGAGGGAGACUUUGGGAGGUAAUUAUAUUUGGAUGAGAUCAUGAGGGUGGGGUCCCCAAGAUAGGAUCAGUGUGCUUAUACGAAGGGGAGGAGACACCAGAACUCUCUCUGCCAUGUAAGGACACAGCAAGAAGGCAGCCAACUGCAAGCCAGGAUGAGAGCUCUCACCAGGAACAAGAACUGGCCUGCACCUUGGGCUUGGGCUUCCCAGCCUACAGAACUGUGAGAAGUAAACAUCUCUUGCUUAAGCCCCACAGUCUGCGGAAUUUGGGUAUAGCAGCCCCGGCAGACCAACACAGACAGGUACAGCCUUUGUGGCCAGGCCUGACCAGAAGCUUCUUUCCUGCCUCUGUCAUGUUUGCAACGGAGUGGGCCAAUCAGGCCAGAGGAAGAAGGAAGCCUCGUUUAUACCUUCAGCCCAACUUCAAAUGCUUCAGAGCAGCUUUCUCUUUAUUUAGCUCAGUUAUGAACAAAGUGGUACUUCUGUUUAUCUGGUGGUGUGCUAGUAAAUGUUCAACAACCAACACUUUGGGGGAGUGGAGAUGGGUAGGAACAAACCUGAUUUGUACAUUCACCAGUUUCCACAGUGUAAAAACUCUCAUGAUGGCAAAUAUCAAAAUACCAACAUGACAUUAUCAGGAAGUAAUGCACAUUAUUACACCGUUAUAUAGUAUUUCCACCAACUAUAGUGGUGCAAAUAGAUAUAACCUGAAGAACACAGCUAGUUGUAAAAUGUAGCAAAAUAAUUAGAAAGUGAUGAAUUUUGAAUCUCUAUUAAACUUAGUUGUAAAUAUA